UGGGAGGUGCCUGUGCAGGGAGCAGAGUAUUAGGGUUAUCUAUCUGUAACUAUUGCUGAAAGAGUUAGAAAUAGUGUGGUCCUUAACUGGAUCACCUGCAAGUGAGGAACCCGUCGACUCAAGAGACACCAGCCCAGACUGACUGGAGGGAAACAGGACCACAGCAGCGAAUCAUCCAAGAGGGAAUCCAACAGGCUCUCACACCUCAUCCACCCAACCCUCACUGCAAGAAAUAUUGGGGGGGAAGAAUCCGAUAUAUUCUGCUGAAAAGAUGUAGCAGAUCUGGAA